rnacentral:rRNA from 1 species
GACGAACGCUGGCGGCGUGCUUAACACAUGCAAGUCGAACGGUGAAAGGGGAGCUUGCUCCGCUGGAUCAGUGGCGAACGGGUGAGUAACACGUGGGCAACCUGCCCCUCACUUCGGGAUAACUCCGGGAAACCGGGGCUAAUACCGGAUAUGACCUCCUUGGGCAUCCUUGGAGGUGGAAAGUUUUUCGGUGAGGGAUGGGCCCGCGGCCUAUCAGCUUGUUGGUGAGGUAAUGGCUCACCAAGGCGACGACGGGUAGCCGGCCUGAGAGGGCGACCGGCCACACUGGGACGGAGACACGGCCCAGACUCCUACGGGAGGCAGCAGUGGGGAAUAUUGCGCAAUGGGCGAAAGCCUGACGCAGCAACGCCGCGUGCGGGAUGACGGCCUUCGGGUUGUAAACCGCUUUCAGCAGGGAAGAAGCCGCAAGGUGACGGUACCUGCAGAAGAAGCACCGGCUAACUACGUGCCAGCAGCCGCGGUAA